rnacentral:rRNA from 1 species
UACGUAGGGUGCGAGCAUUGUCCGGAAUUAUUGGGCGUAAAGAGCUCGUAGGCGGCCUGUCACGUCGGAUGUGAAAGCCCGGGGCUUAACCCCGGGUCUGCAUUCGAUACGGGCAGGCUGGAGUUCGGUAGGGGAGACUGGAAUUCCUGGUGUAGCGGUGAAAUGCGCAGAUAUCAGGAGGAACACCGGUGGCGAAGGCGGGUCUCUGGGCCGAUACUGACGCUGAGGAGCGAAAGCGUGGGGAGCGAACAGG